rnacentral:rRNA from 1 species
AGUCGAACAAGGUUUCNGUAGGUGAACCUGCGGAAGGAUCAUUG